rnacentral:lncRNA from 1 species
AGAUGUAGACAAUAUAUAACAAAUUUGUAGCUCUCAACAUCAUCUAUAGAUUUGUACUUGAUAGUUUUGUUUGUUUGAGAUUGUUUAGAGGGCCAAAUUUUUUUAACAUCCCAUAUUUUGAAUUUUUUUACCUUUUUGAAACAAACUUAGAUGGAGAGACACUUAUACCAAAUUUGUUGCCUCAAUGUGUUCUACAACUUUCUAGUUGACUACC